GACGAACGCUGGCGGCGUGCUUAACACAUGCAAGUCGAACGGAAAGGCCCUGCUUUUGUGGGGUGCUCGAGUGGCGAACGGGUGAGUAACACGUGAGUAACCUGCCCUUGACUUUGGGAUAACUUCAGGAAACUGGGGCUAAUACCGGAUAGGAGCUCCUGCUGCAUGGUGGGGGUUGGAAAGUUUCGGCGGUUGGGGAUGGACUCGCGGCUUAUCAGCUUGUUGGUGGGGUAGUGGCUUACCAAGGCUUUGACGGGUAGCCGGCCUGAGGGGGUGACCGGCCACAUUGGGACUGAGAUACGGCCCAGACUCCUACGGGAGGCAGCAGGGGGGAAUAUGGCACAAUGGGCGGAAGCCUGAUGCAGCAACGCCGCGUGCGGGAUGACGGCCUUCGGGUUGGAAACCGCUUUCGCCUGUGACGAAGCGUGAGUGACGGUAAUGGGUAAAGAAGCACCGGCUAACUACGU
rnacentral:rRNA from 1 species